rnacentral:rRNA from 1 species
GGGGAAUAUUGCACAAUGGAGGAAACUCUGAUGCAGCGACGCCGCGUGAGUGAAGAAGUAUUUCGGUAUGUAAAGCUCUAUCAGCAGGGAAGAUAGUGACGGUACCUGACUAAGAAGCACCGGCUAAAUACGUGCCAGCAGCCGCGGUAAUACGUAUGGUGCAAGCGUUAUCCGGAUUUACUGGGUGUAAAGGGAGUGUAGGUGGUCUGACAAGUCAGAGGUGAAAGCCCGGGGCUCAACCCCGGGACUGCCUUUGAAACUGUCAGACUAGAGUGCAGGAGAGGUAAGUGGAAUUCCUAGUGUAGCGGUGAAAUGCGUAGAUAUUAGGAGGAACACCAGUGGCGAAGGCGGCUUACUGGACUGUAACUGACACUGAGGCUCGAAAGCGUGGGGAGCAAACA